rnacentral:rRNA from 1 species
UCCGUAGGUGGACGGUUAAGUCAGAGGUGAAAUCCUGCAGCUCAACUGUAGAAUUGCCUUUGAUACUGGUCGUCUUGAGUCGUUGUGAAGUAGUUAGAAUACGUAGUGUAGCGGUGAAAUGCAUAGAUAUUACAUAGAAUACCGAUUGCGAAGGCAGAUUACUAACAACGUACUGACACUGAUGGACGAAAGCGUGGGGAGCGAACAGGAUUAGAUACCCUGGUAGUCC